GUGUCAGCCGCCGCGGUAAUACAGAGACUGCAAGCGUUAUUCGGAUUCACUGGGCGUAAAGGGUGCGCAGGCGGCCGUGUGUGUGAGGCGUGAAAGCCCGGGGCUUAACCCCGGAAUUGCACCUCAAACUACACGGCUAGAGCAUUGGAGAGGGUAGCGGAAUUCACGGUGUAGCAGUGAAAUGCGUAGAUAUCGUGAGGAACACCAGAGGCGAAGGCGGCUACCUGGACAAUUGCUGACGCUCAGGCACGAAAGCGUGGGGAGCAAAAGGGAUUAGAUACCCUCGUAGUCC
rnacentral:rRNA from 1 species